rnacentral:sRNA from 1 species
UUCCAGAGAAGGUGAAUUCUGGGUUAUAGUCCUAGAGCUGUGUCCAUAACUGCAUCUCAGUGUUCCUGGUGUCUUCAAGAUUGCCAGCCCUUCCCAACCUGUGCCAGACAUAAGAGGAAGCACUACUUGCAGCCAUCAGUGAAAAAGAUGCAAACAUUGCCUUGCUGGAAUUGUCUGCCUCCAAAAAGAAAAAGACGCAGGAAGAAGUCAUGGCCCUCAAGCGGGAAAAAGACCGACUAGUACAUCAAUUAAAGCAGCAGACCCAGAACAGAAUGAAGUUGAUGGCAGACAACUAUGAUGAUGACCAUCACCAUUACCACCACCACCACCAUCACCACCACCAUCGAUCUCCUGGGAGGUCGCAACAUUCCAAUCACAGGCCCUCUCCGGACCAGCUAUCAGAAGGGCUGAAUAAAGGGAACAUGCAGCUCUGCAGCAAUAUUCUGAUAAUCUAUUGCAGUGCGGCUCACAUCACUGUCCACCACCACCUGGAGCGGCUCAUCAGAACUGAAAGGGAGUUUUCACUUACCUU